rnacentral:rRNA from 1 species
GACGAACGCUGGCGGCGUGCCUAAUACAUGCAAGUUGAGCGCUGAAGGUUGGUACUUGUACCGACUGGAUGAGCAGCGAACGGGUGAGUAACGCGUGGGGAAUCUGCCUUUGAGCGGGGGACAACAUUUGGAAACGAAUGCUAAUACCGCAUAAAAACUUUAAACACAAGUUUUAAGUUUGAAAGAUGCAAUUGCAUCACUCAAAGAUGAUCCCGCGUUGUAUUAGCUAGUUGGUGAGGUAAAGGCUCACCAAGGCGAUGAUACAUAGCCGACCUGAGAGGGUGAUCGGCCACAGUGGGACUGAGACACGGCCCAAACUCCUACGGGAGGCAGCAGUAGGGAAUCUUCGGUAAUGGACGAAAGUCUGACCGAGCAACGCCGCGUGAGUGAAGAAGGUUUUCGGAUCGUAAAACUCUGUUGGUAGAGAAGAACGUUGGUGAGAGUGGAAAGCUCAUCAAGUGACGGUAACUACCCAGAAAGGGACGGCUAACUACGUG